rnacentral:lncRNA from 1 species
UAAAUGUAGAUUUAUCACUUGCAAAUCAAAAACUUAACUGCUACAGUCUAUGAAACACUUUCUACAAAAUAAUGAAGUUCAGUUCAAUUAGCAGUUUAAUUACCAGUGUCAACCAGUAUUGACAAAACGACCACUUCUGACUAGAUUGGUAGUAUUAAUUUGGUUGCUUUAAGUAAAUAUAAUUAUAAUAGAAUUAUCAUUAAAAACUUCUUGCACACGACCCUUUUUGGAAAAUCUUUAUUAUAUAAUAAGAUGUCUUAUAUUUUAGGACAAAGGUUAGACAACUCUAGUGAAUAUUUUAGCUGGCAAAGAGACCAAAACUACCAAAGAAAGGCUAUAUAAAUAUUGUGAGAGAGGAGAAGUUACGCAAGUCAAGAAAGGUUUCAGUGAAGCCAUGGUACAAAUGGAUGAAUAUGUAAACUUGCCAGCUCAGCGGCUAGCCCAACUGGUCAGAAAAUAUGUCCACCAUUGUCGUAUGAAGGAAAUUGAAGAGAGCCAAAAGAUGGACAGAUAGGAUGGAUGAGAUGGGUAAAGAGAGGUACAGACUGGCGUUGAUGGAGACAUUAGACAGUAUUGAACAAGAGUCGGGGCUUUUACUCAUCAAACCUAUGUACUCGUACAGAGGAAAGUGUGUAUAUAUAGGCAGGAGGUGGAGUGAAUUGAUAGAGAGUCAAAGGAACAACCGUACUCUGAGAAAGUAACGAGACCAUUCCGGCCACACAGAACACUCACGCCCUUACGGGAUAAUAACAGUGCUCAUGCCCCAGCCCCAACACCUGCAUCCAGUGUCCGGCCUUGAAACUUUACUAGGAGAGACAAACAGGAAAACACAACAGUCAGGUAGUGACAAUAAAGAUGAAUCAGAGUGAAACAUAUAAUAGGAUGGUAGCUGGGAGGUUUGCCCUUGUAAAUAGCAACAGCAGUGACAGUGGUACAGACUGUCCACACAGGGAUAUGUAGGACUACAUUUCUUUGAGGACGGAUUAAAAUCUAUACCAGACUAGCAGCCUCGACAGAUGUGUAUUGGAAAUUUGAACAGGGACUGAAUACUUUGAUCUGUGUGUGAAUUAGUUGAUUUUGAAUAUCUCAGCAACCAAAGGAUUUACAGUAAUGAAGAUUUACAUUCUAGUAGCUGAUAACAAUAAAAGUCAGUCCAUAAAAAGAUUUUAUCAAGGUGAUGAAUUCCAUGUGUUGGUAGAAACUUAGAAUAAAACCACCAAUCACUGCCUAGACCAGAACAAACUAUUAAGUCAUGUAGGCAGAAUCUGCAGUUCUCAGCGUAACAAGAUAGAGUAGCUGCUGUUAUUGCUGUACUACAUUUCUGUGCCGAAGGAUUAAAAACUACUCCAGACUGGCAGCCUCGACAGAUGUGUAUUGGAAAUUUGAAAAGUGACUUUGAUGUGUUGCAAACAAGUUCAUUGUUGAUGAUAGGAGCGUUAGUGCUGUAAUUUUGUUGUUAACCAAAAUUUUACCUGAAAGAAGUUAUUAAAGAUUUUAUAAUGUAAACAGACCCCUACAUCAUUUUACCAUCGAUAUUUUCCACUCAUGAUUGCACGCAAUUCAGGUGUUAAUUGUUGAUAUAAUUGUAAAUGAGAGGCCCCAACAAAAACCUUUCUUCAAUUUUUGUAAGCAGUUUAAUUUGUAAAUUAAUGUUGAUAUCUGAAGUUAACCGCUCACUUUGUUUACAACAAUAAAUAAAACACCUUAUAGUUUGUUUAAGGUUGUUGACCUGUAAUGAAAAUCAUCAACUACAGUAAUUCCCAUAUGCUUUUUCAGCAUUUAUUUGUUUUUCAAGGAAAGCAAUGCUCGUGAUAGUUCCAUCCAGAGAAUGCUGAAUUGCUUAAAAUACAUUACAUAGAGUCAUUACCUAUCAGCUACCUUAAAAUGUUGUAAUUACAACCACUACCUUAAAACAUUGUAAUUAUAUUUGAUGACAAUGAAUUUUUAUGUUACAUUAUUUGGAGCA